CCUUCCGGUGAGCUUUCGAGCUUAAACGGACGCGGUAAAUCGUGCAAAGGUAGCUAAAUUACGGCCUAUUAAUUGUAGGUCCUGUGAAUGGUUUGACGAGCCUCCGACUGUCUCUAAUCUGUUUUGGUGAACUUGAAUUGGAUGUGCAAAUGCUUCCUUGAAAAAGAAAGACGAGAAGACCCCGUGAAGCUAGAAAUUUAAGCUGCAGGCGUUAAGUUCUCAGGCCCAUGGGGUCGAUUUUUGAAGUAGUUUCAGAGUGAGUCAAUGUGGUGAUGGUUUUGGCUGGGGCAGCAAAAGAGCAAGAUAAGACUCUUUUAGGAAAAAAGCGGAUGCGCUACGAUCCACAAUUUUAUUGGUCUUGUGAUUAGCAGAAAAAGUUACUCCGGGGAUAACAGCGUUAUCCGUCCUGAUAGUUCUUAUAGACGGGCGGGUUUGCGACCUCGAUGUUGGCUCUGGGUAUCCUUAGGCUUGCAGGCGGUCUUUAGGGUUGGUUCGUUCGCCCAUUAAAACCCGACGUGAUCU
rnacentral:rRNA from 1 species